CUUUAUUGGAGAGUUUGAUCCUGGCUCAGGAUGAACGCUGGCGGCGUGCCUAAUACAUGCAAGUCGAGCGAAUGGAU
rnacentral:rRNA from 2 species